GUGGGGAAUCUUAGACAAUGGGCGCAAGCCUGAUCUAGCCAUGCCGCGUGAGCGAUGAAGGCCUUAGGGUUGUAAAGCUCUUUCGUGGGGGAAGAUAAUGACUGUACCCCAAGAAGAAGCCCCGGCUAACUCCGUGCCAGCAGCCGCGGUAAUACGGAGGGGGCUAGCGUUGUUCGGAAUUACUGGGUGUAAAGCGCACGUAGGCGGACUGGAAAGUCAGGGGUGAAAUCCCGGGGCUCAACCCCGGAAAUGCCUUUGAAACUCCCAGUCUUGAGUUCGAGAGAGGUGAGUGGAAUUCCGAGUGUAGAGGUGAAAUUCGUAGAUAUUCGGAGGAACACCAGUGGCGAAGGCGGCUCACUGGCUCGAUACUGACGCUGAGGUGCGAAAGCGUGGGGAGCAAACAGGAUUAGAUACCCCUGUAGUCC
rnacentral:rRNA from 1 species